AUUCCGCAGAUAAACUUUAAUUAGUCUUGUGCUAUCUAUUUAUAGCAAAAUUAGGUAUUUAAAGGCAGUAACUCAAAUCUGAAUACAUAUUACAGGAAAUCUAUUUCUGUAGUAGUUCCUACAUUUCUUUUUUAUGAGUUAAAACAUUUCAUGACUAUUUAAAGUAUAUAGAAGAAUUUUAAAAAAUGUACAGAGAUGGGUAGUGUAAAACUCUACACAUAUUAGAUGAGUCAGACUCUUUCACUAAGUACUGGUAGAGGCAAUCAACACUGUAACUCUGAAUCAUAGCCCUCUUUUGGACAAAGGAAAAGUAGCUCGGAGCUCUGAGACUAGACUCUGAGCUGUUCACAUUCAAUGCUGAAUUAAAUGUCAAAUUUCCAGACAACCUUGGAAAAGAAUGCUUUAAUUUAAAAAACUUUUAGCUAACUCUCAGCACCAUUCUACUUACAAGGGCCAAAUAUUAAGACAGUUAACUCUUAGGUAGAAGUGACUUGAAAUUAAGUCUAUAGGAACUUCAGUUCUAUAAUGAUAUCUAUCUUCAGCACAGUCCUGAAGACGUUUGUCUAAAACUGUUCAUGUUUCUGAUGAAGAUGCUGCCUAUCUUAUUUAACAUUCCUGGUGCCCUUUGAUCUUGGAGAUUUAAAUUUCUCUUUCACCUGAAAGACAUCUUUCAGGCAGUGCAGGCAGGCUGGAAACGAAUUCUCUCAGCUGUUAUUCUUCAGCAAAUGUCUUUAUUUAACUCUUGUUUACGGAGGCUCUUUCUGCUGGAUAUAAAACUGAGAUGACAGUUUUUUCUUUCAGUACUUUAAGAAAGUCAUUUCAUUGUCUUCUGGACUCCAUUGUUUCUGAUGAGAAUUAUGAAUUCUGUUUUGCUUUGGAGAAGAAAAAUGCGAUCCCCC
rnacentral:lncRNA from 1 species